CUUCGGGGCGCUGCGGGGAAGGGGCUGUCUGGAAAGAAUGUACUGACAUAAAUCUCCGCAGCGUGAGAUAAAGCAUCGGGCGUGUUUUAGUGCUUCGUAGGAAGAUAAUUUCCUUGCGGUUUCUCGCAAGAGGUGUCAGGGGCAUCGCUUGCUGGACGGGAUUCCAGAAGGCAGUGUGGCUGUAUAGGGGCUCGGCUUUGUUUUCUGCCCCGCCGACGUAAGUGAUGCGCCCCAAUCCGUCGGCAGCCGUGGUUGGUGUGCGCCGGGUGUCCCCUGGGCGUGAGGAGCGGUCCUUCAACUGCCGGCUCUGGGCCGGGCUUCCGAGCGUGCGCCUUUGUUUGGUUUGGUUUCUUCAGGUGGUUAAAAAAGGGGGGGAAACGCUGUUCCUUUUCGGCGUUCCCAGCACAGUAUUUCAAGCUCCUCUUUGCCGAGAGGAUUCAGCGGAGUGGGUUUUGCUGGAGUUGCGAUAGAUUGGGUUAUUUGCAGAAGGGAUUCCUCAGAGGCCUUGUCUCCAUUAAGCAAUUACAUUAUUGUUUUUACCCAGCAGUACAGCUCCUGUGCGAGCGCCGGCAGCUCUGGUUUUACAGUGAAGGAACAAAAAGCCCUGAUUCUUUAUACCAAAGGAAAGAAAAUGCACCGAAUGGCUUUUUUCUUUUUUUUUUUUUUUUUCCAUAUUCAGGUAGCUUUGGGUGUUCUGGCAAUGCCCAUGAAGAUCAAGGAGCAGAAUAAAAUCUGUGAUGUGACAGCAGCCCAGGUGGAGAUCUGCAUGCUCCCUUGGCAGAUGAUGUUUGUAGAGAAGUGCGUGGAAGUGGAUGCUUGGCUGUGUCCUGGUAUUGGUGACACAGGAUAAGCUACAUUGGCUGCAUUACUUCAAGAUUAGGAAGGAGACCUUUGGGUAUAGGCUGUGCGUAGAGAACCAUUUUGCUAUUACUCACUACGCAGGUAAAAUUGUUUUUCCUGGGGAAAAGAGGUGGUUGCACUGGGAAAACUGGCUGCUUGGAGUAGUACAAUUAGCAGCGCUGGUGUGCCUGGGUUUUCAAAUGCUGAGAAGCACCAG
ensembl:lncRNA